AACGUUAACAUGGCCGGUGUGGGUCAAAAUGUAGUAUCAGUUCUUAUUCGCUUAAUGUCUGAUACGAGUUGUAUUUAGAUCCAAGAUAGUGCUUAUUUUUGCAAGUUGGUGGAGUACUUGAAGCCUGCUUCACCUCUGCAGCGGGGCGGCCCAGUAUUGCACUAUGUUCGGGAUCGGCCCGCGGUUU